rnacentral:tRNA from 1 species
GUCCUUGUAGCUUAAAACCAAAGCAUAGCACUGAAGAUGCUAAGACGUUGUCCAUCACAUCCAAGGACA